rnacentral:rRNA from 1 species
CAGCAGCCGCGGUAAUACGAAGGUCCCGAGCGUUGUCCGGAUUUAUUGGGCGUAAAGCGAGCGCAGGCGGUUAGAUAAGUCUGAAGUUAAAGGCUGUGGCUUAACCAUAGUACGCUUUGGAAACUGUUUAACUUGAGUGCAGAAGGGGAGAGUGGAAUUCCAUGUGUAGCGGUGAAAUGCGUAGAUAUAUGGAGGAACACCGGUGGCGAAAGCGGCUCUCUGGUCUGUAACUGACGCUGAGGCUCGAAAGCGUGGGGAGCGAACAGGAUUAGAUACCCGCGUAGUCCCUGUCUCUUAUACA